rnacentral:rRNA from 1 species
UACGUAGGGUGCAAGCGUUAAUCGGAAUUACUGGGCGUAAAGCGUGCGCAGGCGGCGCGUUAAGACAGGUGUGAAAGCCCCGAGCUUAACUUGGGAAUUGCGCUUGUGACUGGCGUGCUGGAGUGUGGCAGAGGGAGGUGGAAUUCCACGUGUAGCAGUGAAAUGCGUAGAGAUGUGGAGGAACACCGAUGGCGAAGGCAAUCCCCUGGGCCUGCACUGACGCUCAUGCACGAAAGCGUGGGGAGCAAACAGG